UACGUAGGGGGCAAGCGUUGUCCGGAUUCAUUGGGCGUAAAGAGCGUGUAGGCGGCCAGGUAGGUCGGUUGUGAAAACUGGAGGCUCAACCUUCAGAGGUCGACCGAAACCAUCUGGCUAGAGUCCGGGAGAGGAGAGUGGAAUUCCCAGUGUAGCGGUGAAAUGCGUAGAUAUUGGGAGGAACACCAGUGGCGAAGGCGGCUCACUGGACCGGUUCUGACGCUGAGGCGCGAAAGCGUGGGGAGCAAACGGG
rnacentral:rRNA from 1 species